GAGUACGCCUUCACAUUCGUACCUCCUUGAUCGCCGUUCAAUUCCGCCACUGUCAAUCUCAGCUGUAUAGUCUGAAAGGAGUGUGUUCCGUUACAACGAUUUGUGUGAAAUUUUGACGAGAGGAAAAGGGAGAAAGAGAGAGAACGAGUAAAAAGUUAUCAAAACCUGUAAAGCGUGCGCCGGUACGCUGAAUAUUAUCGCCUCAUUGAAGAUUGGACUUUUCUCGCCUUUUUUCACAGAAGUCUUCUUUUUGUGCAUCUUCUUCCCUUGUUGAAAUGAAAAGGAAUGUCUAUACGUUACCUUGACGAAGAAAUCACCCGGACUAGAAUUCGCGCCGCGCAAAUUGCGGGCUUUGACUACUACGAGAGUGAGUCUCUCCGCCGUUGGCAAAUAACUCAGAGAGAACAUUAGCUCUCCUAGAUGCGGAGUGGGUGAGGCAGGUCCACUGAGUGCCAGCCAAGUCGUUGCUGGCGGUCUCGCCGCGGGCCCGAGCUUCAAGCUGGCUUCGCCGAUUAAGGACGCACCGCCGCCGAUGUUGGACUCGUCAGAAAAUACCUGGGCGAUGAAAGGGAUAAUCACGUGAAUUUUGACGGGACAGAAUACGAAAGCACCUCGACAAAGAGUGUUCUGCCUGCUGGGCCACCAUCGAGAGGGAAUAGGAAUUUCUCCUGAUAACUAGGCGAUGGACAUCCUCUAUAAAUUCUUGUUUGCACGUGCGUCUGUCUAUCGGGUAACAGACACACCCUACGAAAAAAAAAACAAUCUUUCAAUAUUUUUAUUUAUAAAAGUAGGUUAUCAAUUAAUGUAUUGAUAAAAUUUGUGCACAAUAUGUUAAA